GACAGAGGGUGCAAACGUUGUUCGGAAUUACUGGGCGUAAAGCGCGUGUAGGCUGCUCAGAAAGUCGGAUGUGAAAGCCCUGGGCUUAACCUAGGAAGUGCAUUCGAAACUUCUGAGCUUGAGUUCUGGAGAGGAAGGCGGAAUUCUGUGUGGAGCGGUGAAAUGCGUUGAUCUACAGAGGAACACCAAAAAAGGCGAAGGCAGCCAACUAUUCUAUUCCUGACAUUGAGGCAUGAAAGCGUGGGGAGCAAACCGG
rnacentral:rRNA from 1 species